AAUGAACGCUGGCGGCAGGCCUAACACAUGCAAGUCGAACGGAUCCUUCGGGAUUAGUGGCGGACGGGUGAGUAACGCGUGGGAACAUACCCUUUGGUACGGAAUAGCCUCGGGAAACUGGGAGUAAUCCCGUAUGUGGUCGAGAGACGAAAGAUUUAUCGCCAAAGGAUUGGCCCGCGUUGGAUUAGGUAGUUGGUGGGGUAAUGGCCUACCAAGCCGACGAUCCAUAGCUGGUUUGAGAGGAUGAUCAGCACACUGGCACUGAGACACGGCCCAGACUCCUACGGGAGGCAGCAGUGGGGAAUCUUAGACAAUGGGGGAAACCCUGAUCUAGCCAUGCCGCGUGAUCGAUGAAGGCCUUAGGGUUGUAAAGAUCUUUCAGGUGGGAAGAUAAUGACUGUACCACCAGAAGAAGCCCCGGCUAACUCCGUGCCAGCAGCCGCCGUAA
rnacentral:rRNA from 1 species